rnacentral:rRNA from 1 species
GUAAUAGUUAUGUUCUUGAAACCCAAAGAAUUUGGCGGUAUUUUAGUCCAUUUAGAGGAACCUGUCUCGUAAUCGAUAUUCCACGAUUUUAUGUACUUAAUUUUGUUUGUCAGUUUAUAUACCUCCGUCUUAAGAGUGUCUUUUUAGAGUAAAUUCUCUUAAUAAUUUAAUGUAAUUAUGUCAGGUCAAGGUGUAGCCUAUAAUUAAGUGUAUGGUGGGUUACAAUAAUUUUAUUUAUACGGAUAAAGGGUUGUAUUUGUUUUUUUUGAAGGUGGAUUUAAAAGUAAAUUUUUCUUAUUGGAUUGUUGAAAUUGGCUCUAAAUUAUGCACACAUCG